rnacentral:rRNA from 1 species
CCUACGGGUGGCAACAGUGAGGAAUAUUGGUCAAUGGACGAGAGUCUGAACCAGCCAAGUAGCGUGAAGGAUGACUGCCCUCUGGGUUGUAAACUUCUUUUAUAUGGGAGUAAAAUGUUCCACGUGUGGGAUUUUGUAUGUACCAUAUGAAUAAGGAUCGGCUAACUCCGUGCCAGCAGCCGCGGUAAUACGGAGGAUCCGAGCGUUAUCCGGAUUUAUUGGGUUUAAAGGGAGCGUAGGUGGAUUGUUAAGUCAGUUGUGAAAGUUUGGGGCUCAACCGGAACAAUGCAGUUGAAACUGGCAGUCUUGAGUACAGGAGAGGAGGGCGGAAUUCGUGGUGUAGCGGUGAAAUGCGUAGAUAUCACGAAGAACUCCGAUGGCGAAGGCAGUUCACUGGACUGCAACUGACACUGAGGCGCGAAAGUGUGGGUAGCAAACAGGAUUAGAUACCCGAGUAGUC